CCUGGUUGAUCUUACCAGUAGUCAUAUGCUUGUCUCAAAGAUUAAGCCAUGCAUGUCUAAGUAUGAACUAAUUCAAACUAUGAAACUGCAGAUGCCUCAUUAAAUCAGUUAUAGUUAUUUUGAUGGUAACCUACUACUCAGAUAACCGUAGUAAUGUUAGAGCUAAUAUGUGCACCAAGUCCCAACUCAUUGUAAGGGAUGCAUUUUUUAGAUAAAAUGCCAGUGCAAGCUUGCCCAUUUCUCCAGUGAAUCAUGAUAACUAGAUGGAUUGCACAACCCUUGUGCUGGAAAUGCUUCAUUAAAAAUUUUCUCUAUCAACUUUUGAUGGUAGGAUGAAGGCCUACCAUGCUGGUGAUGGGUGAUGGAUAAUUAGGGUUCGAUUCUAGAGAGGUAGCCUAAGAAAUGGCUACCACUCCAAGGAAGGCAGUAAGCACGCAAAUUACCCAAUCCUGACAUGGGGAGGUAGUGACAAUAAAUAACAAUAUUGGGCUCAUCGAGUUGGGUAAUUGGAAUGAAUAAAAUCUAAAUCCCUUAACGAGGAUCUAUUGGAGGGAAAGUCUGGUGCUAACAACUGCGUUAAUUCCAUCUCCAAUAGCGUAUAUUUAAGUUAUUGCAAUUAAAAAGCUCGUAGUUGGAUAUUGAGUCAUAAAGGCCAGUCCGCCUACUCUGUGUGCACCUACACUUCCAUCCAUUUUGUUGGUGGCAUGAUCAUGGCCUUAAUUGGCUGGGUCAUGACUCUGAUGUUGUUACUUUGAAAAAAUUAGAGUGCACAAAGCAAUCUUAUGCUCUGAAUACAUUAGCAUGGAAUAAUGUGAUAGGAGUCUGGUCCUAUUGUGUUGGCCUUGUUGGAGAGGUAAAUCCCCUCUACGGAUAGAGGCGAUCCCUACUAGCCCAGAACGGGUCUAGCAACAAUCAAACAAUGCUAUCACGCAAGUUCCUAAAUGCAAAUACAAGGUAGGUGAUGAAGACCUACUUGAGAUCCAAUGCUUCCGUUUGUAGAAAAGAUGUCGCCCACGUUCCUUUUCCUUGGCCGGUCACAAUCCUCCACCAUCCAUGUGAAUGGACACCUGCACACAAAGAGAACAACACAAACACAAGCGUGAAAUCUAAUAUAUGCAAUUAUACAUCAGUCAGGAAGGAUAUAAUUCAACAUCAACCAUUACAAGUACAACGAGAAUGGAACCAU
rnacentral:rRNA from 1 species